rnacentral:lncRNA from 1 species
CAUUAGGCUAAGUUAAUUGGUACUUAGAUCGCACUUUUGUGCUCUCAUCACACCCCCCAACUAGCUUAUUGCUAGUCUCUAGCAAUUCAGAGUAAAUAAUAACAUGAGACUACAAAAAGUGUUGGUUGAUCCUUUGAUGUUUUAUUAGAACUAAUUGCAUGAAAUUAAGAUAAGCACUCACUUUCGUAGGAAUCACGAUUGCACUUAGCACGUGCAACAAGCCGUUAAACCCCUAGGUUACCCUAGUGGACGAGUGUUGUCUCGUGAGGAUUUUCAGGGAUGUUACCCACAAACAUCAUGAGAUUCUAAUAAAAAAAUAUGAAAUAAAUCUUAAGCUAAUACACAUGUAAUUAAUUGAUAUUUAUUUUCAAGCAUGGCUAUUGUCAAAGCAAGGAAAUAUAAAAGUGUAGUGUGUAUCAAAUCGCAUGACUUUCUCAGAGUACUAAUACCUCCACCACAACAGGGCACCGCCUGAGUUUUAGGUGCACUACUCAAGUUCAAAAGUGUUUUCUCCAAUUUAUUAGAACCUGAUCCAUCAAAUUUUCAGAAUAUCACAUGUUGUCUAAAUUUGUCAAGAAUGGUUCGCAUGUAAAGAAAGAGCUAUCAAUCCCAACUAAACAACCUGGGUAUACAGAGGUCCAAUACAAUGGAGUCAAACCAGCCAUUACCACAUGUCACUAGGUUCAGCCUAACCAACUCAUUCAUGCUUAUUUUAUUUCAUUUUUUUUUUAAAUUACACAUGACAACUACAGCUAUCCAACCCCAUUAGGCUCUAGUAAGGUCCAUGUAGCGAGCUUUCAGUCAAUGACCCCUGAUCCAGUUAGCUCAAGACAUUAGGUGAAACACCCCUCGGACUUAAUUACUCGAACCAGACUACGCUACGAGGCCAGACUUGUCAUCAUAAGGAUUUUUUUUUCAUAAUUAUGCAAGAAAAGGGAAGAUAGACUGAACCAUAUAUAUAUAUAUUUUAUUAUA